GAUGAACGCUGGCGGCGUGCCUAAUACAUGCAAGUCGAGCGAACUGAUUAGAAGCUUGCUUCUAUGACGUUAGCGGCGGACGGGUGAGUAACACGUGGGCAACCUGCCUGUAAGACUGGGAUAACUUCGGGAAACCGAAGCUAAUACCGGAUAGGAUCUUCUCCUUCAUGGGAGAUGAUUGAAAGAUGGUUUCGGCUAUCACUUACAGAUGGGCACGCGGUGCAUUAGCUAGUUGGUGAGGUAACGGCUCACCAAGGCAACGAUGCAUAGCCGACCUGAGAGGGUGAUCGGCCACACUGGGACUGAGACACGGCCCAGACUCCUACGGGAGGCAGCAGUAGGGAAUCUUCCGCAAUGGACGAAAGUCUGACGGAGCAACGCCGCGUGAGUGAUGAAGGCUUUCGGGUCGUAAACCUCUGUUGUUAGGGAAGAACAAGUACGAGAGUAACUGCUCGUACCUUGACGGUACCUAACCAGAAAGCCACGGCUAACUACGUGCCAGCCGCCGCGGUAACAC
rnacentral:rRNA from 1 species